rnacentral:lncRNA from 1 species
CCAUCCACGUAGAAUGUGACUUGCUCCUCUUCGCCUUCUGCCAUGAUUCUGAGGCCUCCCAGCCACGUCGAACUGCAGAAGAAGGAGAUGCCAGUGACAAGCAAAGUAACUCCCCCACGGCAUGGGAAGAGCCAGCAUCUGCUGCUGUCCAGGAAUACAGUCUCACUGCUGCAGUCAAGGAAGGCCAAAGAAGCCACCGGGGAAAACCAACCCAUCCCGGGGACACUGGAGGCUCACUCCUUCCUCGCUGCAUUCUGAGGCUGCUGCUUUGGAGUGAGAGGUUAUCCUCUGCUUCUCCUGAAAGAGAAGGUGAUAUGCCCAGGACCCUUCCUGAGUAAGAUGUGUUCCUCAGAGGUUAAAAAAGAAAAAAAAGCCCCAAACCCCUGAAACCAAGAAAUCAAGACAGCUCUGGUGGAGAAGCUUUUGGGAACUUGCUGGGGCAGGAAAAAAAAAAAGGACCAUGGUGGGAUUAGGUUGGGUUACUGGCCUAGGGCAGGGAUAUAGGAGAUAAGACUGGUAAGAGAGCUAAAGAUCACACCAUGGAGAAGUUUUGGCUAAGGGACUUACAACUUAUUUUAUAGGCCAUGCAUAUAGAGUAAGUAAAGGAUCUUAAACAGGAAUGAGGAAUGGUCUGAUUUACAUGGAUGGUGGCCUUCAAGUGAGUGUAGGGAGACUGGACUGGAGGAGAAUGAGACAGGAGGCAGGACAGUCCACUGGAGAAGAGGCCACUGCAGUUGUGUAGGUUAAAGAUAUGAGAGAAAACAUCUGGAAAGAAGGAGAGGCAAUGGCACCAAGGGCCAGAAUGGAUGAAUUGGUCUUGAAUGAGAGAGGAAGCACCUUCAUCUACUUGGUUUACAGAAACAGGCCUCCCAGGGGACUGUGCUUGGAUUCUCAGGCCAAGGAGGAGAGAAAUAGACAAGACUGAAGCUGGAGGAGCAGCUGCUGGUUCACCCGCUGCCAAGACUUGGCAGCAGGUUCCUGGGGAAGCAGU